UUAGUACUCCCUCCGUCCGGAAAUACUUGUCGAAGAAAUGCAUAAAAAUGGAUGCAUCUAGAAUUAAAAUACGUCUAGAUACAUCCAUUCCUUCGACAAGUAUUUCCGGACGGAGGGAGUAUUAU
rnacentral:pre_miRNA from 1 species